CCCGGGGAAGAAGGCUGGCAAGGCUAGGUGGGCUACCAAUCUCCCCAGCGCUUUUGUCAAGAGAAACAGCAGCGGUGAGCAGCGGUGGCAGUGGUGGCCUCCUGAGAGCAUGGGUGCCGCAGCCAACUUUGGUGGAAAAGAAGGAUGGCUUCUGGGACCUGUUCGGGGAGCCAUCAACUGUGUGUGCACUAAGGCGAUGCUGGGUCCCAUUGAAGUCAGGCUCUGACAUCACCACCGGGCAGGUCUCAGAUUCCCUGGAACUGGAGUUACAGCUAUGAGCUGCCAUGUGGACUGGAAAUUGAAUCUAGGUCCUUAGGAAGAGUAGCCAUGUUUUAAACUGCUGAGCCAUCUCUCCAACCUUCCAGCUCUAUUGGAAACCCCACCAAAACUGUCAUCGCUGGAUACUCCACAUCUAGAUCCUACUGAAGCAGGGCAGGAGCAUCAGGAAUCAUCUGCUGUUCAGCAUUUCUCUUGGCCUGACCCUCCUCUCUUCUUGGCUUUGUUCCCAUUCCACUGAGGCUAAUGUUCAAUAGUUUCUUACCUCUGAGUGGGGCAUGUCAUAGAAGGAGGCUUAGAACCAGGCUGGACCUCAAGAAGUGGGAGAUGUCACGGGUUGUAAUCAUCUCCUCCAUGUGGAUAGCUUGUGGUCAGAGCUGCAGGUUACUUUUACCUCUAAGUCCCAGUGGAAGCGGCUCCCACUCUGUGCUCUGGGAGUGAGCAGCUGUAGGACUUAGCAGGGAAGGUAUGAACUCCCCACUCAUGAAAUGUUGUUCUAUUUCACCAUGCUCUGCAGUGGUGGGGAGCAUGGCCAGUUGUCCUUUUAUCUGUGGAAGAAUCCAACAGCUAGAAAGCCAAGAUCUGCCAGGCGGUAGUGGCGCAGGCCUUUAAUCCCAGCACUUGGGAGGUAGAGACUGGCCUGGUCUACAAAGUGAAUGUCAGGACACACUCAAAACUACA